rnacentral:rRNA from 1 species
UACGUAGGCAGCAAGCGUUGUUCGGAAUUACUGGGCGUAAAGAGUGUGUAGGCGGUGCUCCAAGUCUGGUGUGAAAUCUCCCGGCUUAACUGGGAGGGUGCAUUAGAAACUGGACUGCUAGAGGAUGGGAGAGGUAAGACGGAAGUUCCUGGUGUAGCGGUGAAAUGCGUAGAUAGUCGGGAAGAACACCCGUGGCGAAGGCGGCUCUCUGGGACGGUACUGAACGCGUGAGACGCGAA